AUAUUGCACAAUGGGCGCAAGCCUGAUGCAGCGACGCCGCGUGGAGGAUGAAGGCUUUCGGGUCGUAAACUCCUGUCUGGGGGGAUGAAUACUGACAGUACCCCCGGAGGAAGCCCCGGCUAACUACGUGCCAGCAGCCGCGGUAAUACGUAGGGUGCGAGCGUUGUCCGGAAUUACUGGGUGUAAAGGGAGCGUAGGCGGGGAUGCAAGUCAAGUGUCAAAUCUAUCGGCUCAACCGAUAGCCGCGCUUGAAACUGUGUCUCUUGAGUGAAGUAGAGGCAGGCGGAAUUCCUAGUGUAGCGGUGAAAUGCGUAGAUAUUAGGAGGAACACCAGUGGCGAAGGCGGCCUGCUGGGCUUUUACUGACGCUGAGGCUCGAAAGCGUGGGGAGCAAAC
rnacentral:rRNA from 1 species